CCUCCUCGCUUCGGCCAAUAAACGCCGCUCUCUCGCCCCCGUGUUACUGGGUAGAACAAAACAAAAACAAACAGAGCGAGAGGGGGCAGAGACGCUCUGAGGCGGCGGCAGAAGCUGAGCUGUGGGGUCUGGGCCGGCGGACCAGGGACCUGGGCGAGCAGCGGCGACGGCGGCGGCCCGAGGGGAAAUAGAUUCCAAGGGAAGACUUCCAUUAGUAAUUUAAUCAGUGCAAGUGACAUUAAAGAACAAUGGAUAUAGAAAAUGAGCAAAUACUGAAUGUAAACCCCACAGACACUUUGAAGUUGAAACCUCUUGCCAUUUUGUAAGUGUGCUAGAAGAUUAUAGUUGAAAAAAUUAUUGCAAUAAUUAAUGAUUAUUUUGGUGCUGCUGUAUACAAUAGCUAUGUGAAUACUUGUUUUUAGGGUUAUAAAUGGGCAUCAUAUUCCUGCUUCAUUGAAGUGAGGAUGGUAAAAACAUAUUUUAAGAAUAUAUUUCACGUAUAGAUAAUUGCUGCUUUUCUGUACUGCCCA